AUACGGAGGGGGCUAGCGUUGUUCGGAAUUACUGGGCGUAAAGCGCGCGUAGGCGGAUUGUUAAGUCGGGGGUGAAAUCCCGGGGCUCAACCCCGGAACUGCCUCCGAUACUGGCAAUCUUGAGGUCGAGAGAGGUGAGUGGAAUUCCGAGUGUAGAGGUGAAAUUCGUAGAUAUUCGGAGGAACACCAGUGGCGAAGGCGGCUCACUGGCUCGAUACUGACGCUGAGGUGCGAAAGCGUGGGGAGCAAACAGGAUUAGAUACCCCAGUAGUCC
rnacentral:rRNA from 1 species